rnacentral:rRNA from 1 species
UACGUAGGGUGCAAGCGUUGUCCGGAAUCAUUGGGCGUAAAGCGCGCGUAGGUGGCUUCGUAAGUCCGUUGUGAAAGUCAAAGGCUCAACCUUUGAAUGCCGAUGGAUACUGCGAAGCUAGAGUACGGAAGAGGCGAGUGGAAUUCCUGGUGUAGCGGUGGAAUGCGCAGAUAGUCAGGAGGAACACCAAUAGCGAAGGCAGCUCGCUGGGACGUUACUGACACUAAGGCGCGAAAGCGUGGGGAGCGAACAGG